GAGUUUCUCUUCUUUCUUUUGAUUUUUUGCUUUUUUUUUUCCGAUGUAAAUGAUAAAGAAAUCGAUUGAAAUAGGUAAAAAGAACAAAGGAUUAAAAGGAGGAAAAAAAUCACAUUCUCUGAUUUUUGAUUGCUUUCUAUAUUACGUUUUUUAUAUGCGUAAUAUCACGUGUGUUUCGUAAAAAAAACGAGCAAUACAUUGCUUUCGGUUUUAUAGCCGAAAUCUCAAAAAAAUCAAAAUAAAAAAUACAAUUUUCUCUUCUUUUUCUAUUUGCUGUUGUGGUUUGUCUAUUUCUUCGUAGGUAUGGAGUAUGCGUGGUGCGAGUACAGCGGCUGUGCUGGCGUACGGAGACGCGAGCGUGGCUGCUGGAGGGUACAGAGGCUAGGGCUGCUGGAGCGGAGGCCUUGUCCGGUUCUUGGCUGCGGCGCAAAAUCCUAGCUAGGGUUUCUGCCUUGAUUUUUUUGGGGGGGGUGUAGGGUAUUUGGGUCUAAGUUUUGGGUUGUGUUAGGUUUGGGCUAAGUUUGGGUAUUGGGUCAUUGUAAUAACUUUGGGUUUUGGACUGUUAUAAAACUGGACUAUUAUAAUGUUUUUAUUAUAAUAAUUUUUGGUUUUAUGCUUAUAUGGGCCCGGGCUAAAUUGGCCCAUUACAACUGCCCCUCUUUGCUCAUUGUCGUGUAACGAGAAUAGAGCAAAGACUUCGAAGAGGGCCAAUUUUACCCGGUCUUGCCAAAUGAUGACUUUUUUGAAGCUUUACUUCUUCGAGGUAGCUUUGUUCCGAUCCUCUGCAACUUCAAGGAUAUAGGAAUUGUUGCUCCAAUCUGCUCCGCUGUAACUCUAGAGGGACUAGCCUUGUAGCUUUUAAUCUGCUCUGCCGCAACUGCUCCACUGCAACUUCAGGGAGAUAAGAUUUGUGACUUCGAUAUGCUCCACUGCAACUUCAGGGUCUGCAAUGUUCGGCCUACUCCACUACAACUUUAGGGAGAUAGGGUGGUGGCUUAAAUCUACUUCAUUGCAACUUCAGGAAGACAAGAUUCGCUGUCUUCGAUCUGCUCCACUGCAACUUCAGGGAGACAAGAUCUGCAAUCUUUAGCCUACUCCACUACAACUUUAGGGAGAUAGGAUGGUGGCUUAAAUCUGCUUGUGAUAGCCCGAAAUAGGGCCUAAUCGGAAUAGUGGUUUGUAACCACAAAUAUGAAGUGAAAUAGUUUAAUUUUAUAAAUUUUUAUUAGUUACUGAUUGAUUGAAAUAUUGUGUGAAAAUAUGGAUAGGAAAUUUUAAUGCUUUAGUGCUUAAUUGAAUUUUUAGGACUAAAUUGAGAAAAAUGCAAAGUGUGUCUAAUUAGUGAUUAAAUGAUUUAAUUGAAUUAUUGCAUGAAAUUGGAAGUGUUUAUGUGGCAAUUAGACCAUAAAUUAGUGUUAUGGACACAAAAGGGUAUUUCUAGAAAAAUAUCUAAGUAAUGGGUCAAGGGCAUUUUUGUCCAAAUUGGGUAAAAGACAAAAUAAAGAGAAAAUAAGUGUCCAUCUUCUUCAAAAAUCAGAAGCUUGCUGCCGAAAGUUUCAGGUUACCAUAGUUAAGGGUUUUGAUUUUCCUAAGCUCAAUUGUAAGUGAUUUCUUGCCCCGUUUUUAAUUAUUUUCGUAUUUUUAUGCUUAUUGAAGCUUGAAUUUCAUGUUUCUACCAUUUAAUUUAAAUGAAAUUAAAGUUUAAAAAUUGACCCAUUCAUGAUAUAAUUGUAAAUUGAUUAGUGAUGUUAGAUAAUGAAUGUUUGAAGUGUUAAUUACAAGUUUUACUAGAUGAAUUUCAACGAAAAAUGUUGAAAAAGGGCUAAAUUGUGAAAGAUGGUAAAGUGUGCAUAAAGUUGUGAUUUUGUGAAAUUGAGGCCUGUUAUGAGCAUGAAAUAUGAUUUAGUGAAGUUUGAAAUUUAAGAAUUUAGUGAAUUUUAUUUUUACGAGCUUAGGGACAAAAGUGGAAUUUUUGAAAAGUUAUGGGGAAAAAUGUAAAUGUGUCAAAAUGUUGUGUAUGAAUUGUAUUUGAAUGGAAUAUUGAUAAAAUGUAUUAAAUUGUGUUAAUAUAGAUCAAGAAAGAAGAAAUAGUGCAAGUGAUCGGGGAAAAGAGAAAGUUAUCGACUAAAUUACAAAAAUAGUCGUUUUGCAUCCGAGGUAAGUUAUAUGUAAAUAAUAGUUAUAUUUGUAUAAAUUGUGAAUUAUAUUUGAUAUGUGAAUUAAUAUUGAAUGUGGAAGGAAAGUUGUUCAUGAAUUAUUCAAGUGAUAAAGUGUUGAAAAUAAAGUGUUAAGUGUAAAUUCCCGGUUGAACUUAGGAAUAAAAUUGGAUACAAGUGACAUGUCACUAGAGACCAGUGUUACAGUGUUACAGUGUUACAGUGAGUCCCGGGUGCUGGGUGAUCUAGCAUGUGUUGCAGACACCUGACAGCUUGUGUGACCAGGCCCGUGGACAUUUCCAGUGUUAUUGAUCAGUGGUAGCUUCGGCUACAUUUCAGUGGUAGCUUUGGCUACAUCCAGUGGUAGCUUCGGCUACAUAUCAGUGGUAGCUUCGGCUACAUAUCAGUGUGGCACUUAUGUGCUAAAUCUCUACGUAUCCGUGUAUAUUCCAAGUGUUCAACGGGAUUAAUAAUGAAUUAAAGUGAAUAUGAAAUGUUAAGUGUGAAAAUGUAUAUGCAAGUGAAUUGGUAAGAUUGUGUAUGUGUAAGUGAUUGAAAUUGCUAAGAAAUGUUUUGAUUAGUUAUAUGUUAAAAGUGUUAAUUAUUAAUUGAGUAAUUAUUGUUUACAUGUAACUUACUAAGCUAUUUAUAGCUUACACAUCUCUUUCUUUCCUUUGUUUUAUAGUGAUUUGAACUUGAUCGAAUAGUGGACCGUCGGAGCUCGUAUCACACUAUCAUAACCAUCUCGGUAUUAUGUGCUUUUCAAAAUGUUUAAACUAUGGCAUGUAUAGAGUCUUAAUCAUUUUGAGCAUGUCCAAAUGAUAUGGCUAAUGUUAGCUAUUGAAGUAGUUAUUAAAGAAUAUGUUUUGGAGUUAUGUAUGUUUAAAUGGUAACUAAUUCAAAGAAGCAGUUUCUUUGACAGCAGCAGUGACGUGAAUGUGAAAAAUCACCAUAAAUAGUAGAAAUGGAAUUAGAGGGUGAAUGAUAUAUAGAAUUAAAUCUUAUCAAGUCUAUUUUUACAUGAAAGAAACGGUGUAGGCAAAGGAAUUUUAUAUUUUUAGAUAUUUAAAUUUUAGUGAGACAGGGUCAGAAUGGUUUUUGAAGUCCCCUGUUCUAACUUUAGAAAAUCAUUAUAAAUUGUACAGAAAUAAUUAUAGGUCAUAAUUUAUAUGUUUAGAUUCCUUAGUGAGUAUAUUUUCAAAAUAAAUUAAUGGUAACCUUAUAUGAAUUCUGUACAAUUAGAUAUUUGAUUUUUAGCGCCAAGAGGUCAGAUCUGUCGAGCUGUGAAACAGGGGAUACUUUAAUGAAUAAACUGUAUUAAUUUGCUAAGUCAAAAAUUCUGAAAAUUUUAUGGUAAGUAGGAAUAUGAGUCUAGUUUUACGGAAAAUUUACGGAUUUAAAUUUUGAGUUUCGUAACUCAAGUUAUAAUUAAAUUAGUGACAGUUGCGCAGGUGGACAGUGUUGUUAUGAACAGUGAAUUUAAUUUUAAAAGCAAUUUUUUAUGCUCCGAAUCGGUAAGUUAAAUUGGAUGACAUCUCGUACUCGAUUCCGGAGACGGUCUCGGGUAAGGGGUGUUACAUUUAGUGGUAUUAGAGUUACGGUUUAGUCGAUUCUCGGACUAACGUAGCGAGUGUAAUAGACUAUCUAUACAUGCCAUAAUUGAAUAAUGAUAGUGUGACGACUCCUGACAUCUUAAAAUUUUUUUUUUUAGUAAUGGAUUCUAACCGAGAUACAGCUGAUGAUGCUCAAAGUAAUGUGCCUGUUGAAAGUCGAUUCAAAACUCAGGGUCAAGGAGAUGAGGCUCGAGAAGCUUUUCUCCAAAUGAUGAACAAUUGGUACACUGAGUUUGUUAGAACUAAUCCUAAUGCUCAACCUCCUCCGCCCCCUCCUAUUUCUCAGGCUGUUCCCAUAGCUCCUCAACAAACUGAAGUGUUAAAAUUGUCAAAGCCUCCAGUGGACAAAAUUCGAAAGUAUGGAGCCGAAGAGUUCCGAGCUAAUGUAAAUGAUGAUCCUGAAAGAGCAGAGUUCUGGCUUGAUAAUACUAUCAGAGUGUUGGAUGAAUUAUCUUGUACUCCAGAAGAAAGCCUCAAAUGUGCUAUCUCAUUGCUGAGGGAUUCGGCUUAUAAUUGGUGGAAAACUUUAGUGUCAGUGGUGCCUAAAUAGAAAGUUACAUGGGACUUCUUUCAAGAAGAAUUCCGGAAGAAGUAUGUGAGUCAGCGUUUCAUUGAUCAAAAGAGAAAAGAGUUUCUUGAAUUGAAACAAGGGCGCAUGACGGUAGCCGAAUAUGAGCGAGAAUUUGUCAAAUUAAGCAAGUAUGCCCAAGAGUGUGUAUCUAAUGAAGCUACAUUGUGUAAAAGGUUUGAAGAUGGAUUAAACGAGGAUAUCCGAUUGCUAGUGGGAAUUCUUGAAAUUAAAGAGUUAGUGGUACUAGUUGAAAGAGCUAUCAAGGCUGAAGAAUUGAGCAAAGAGAAAAGAAAGGUGGAAAGUGAAGCAAGAGAUGAAAGAAAAAGAUCAAUGGGCAAGCCAUUUCAGUCUCAAGCGAAGAAGUUUAAAGAAAUGUUUGAAAAAUGGUUGUGAAGCAUAUCUUGCUUAUGUGUUGAACACAAAAGUGUCUGAAAUAAAGAUCGAAUCAGUGCCAGUGGUAUGUGAAUAUGUAGAUGUGUUCCCAGAAGAGUUGCCAGGUUUGCCUCCGAUUAGAGAAGUAGAGUUUGGUAUUGAAGUAAUGCCAGGUACUGCUCCAAUAUCGAUUGCUCCCUACAGAAUGGCACCAACUGAAUUAAAAGAAUUAGAAGUGAAAUUACAAGAGCUGACAGAUAAAGGAUUUGUUAGACCAAGUUACUCUCCGUGGGGUGCUCCCGUGCUAUUUGUGAAGAAAAAGGAUGGGACAUUGAGAUUGUGUAUUGAUUAUCGUCAACUUAACAAAGUGACAGUGAAGAAUAAGUAUCCAUUACCCCGAAUAGAUGACUUGUUUGAUCAGUUAAAGGAUGCCACAAUGUUUUCCAAAAUUGAUUUGAGAUCCGGAUAUUAUCAAUUGAGGGUUAAAGAGUCAGAUGUGCCAAAGACUGCUUUCAGAACCCGAUAUGGCCACUAUGAAUUUCUUGUAAUGCCUUUUGGUCUGACUAAUGCUCCAGCUAUUUUUAUGGAUUUGAUGAAUCAAAUUUUCCGGCCCUAUUUGGAUAAAUUUGUUGUGGUGUUUAUAGAUGAUAUUCUUAUUUAUUCCCGAAGUGAAGCCGAGCAUGCUGAACAUUUAAGAAUUGUGCUACAAACGCUGCGAGAAAAGAAAUUGUUUGCUAAAUUUAGCAAAAGUGAAUUUUGGCUUAGUGAAGUUGGAUUUUUGGGGCAUAUUGUCUCGGGAGAUGGCAUUCGAGUGGAUCCGAAUAAGAUAUCGGCAAUAGUUGAGUGGAAGCCUCCAAGAAAUGCAUCUGAAGUUAGGAGUUUUCUGGGCUUAGCCGGAUAUUAUCAUCGAUUUGUAGAAGGUUUUUCGAUGAUAGCUUCACCGAUGACAAAAUUGUUGCAAAAAGAUGUUAAGUUCGAAUGGACCGAGGAGUGUCAACAAAGUUUUGAGAAAUUAAAGAAGUGUUUAACUGAGGCACUAGUGUUAGUGCAACCUGAGUCAGGAAAGGAAUUUGUUGUUUAUAGUGACGCGUCACUAAAUGGGCUUGGAUGUGUAUUGAUGCAAGAAGGAAAGGUGAUAGCGUAUGCUUCUCGACAAUUGAAACCGCAUGAACGAAAUUAUCCUACCCAUGAUUUAGAGUUGGCUGCUAUUGUCUUUGCUUUGAAGAUUUGGCGUCAUUAUUUAUAUGGUGAGAAAUGUCGUGUUUUUACAGAUCAUAAAAGUUUGAAAUAUGUUAUGACACAAAAAGAUCUGAAUUUACGGCAAAGAAGAUGGUUGGAAUUGUUGAAAGAUUAUGAACUUGUGAUAGAUUAUCAUCCGGGAAAAGCUAAUAUAGUUGCUGAUGCUUUGAGCAGAAAGUCUCUCUUUGCUUUGAGAGCUUUGAAUACGAGAUUAACAUUGACUGAAGAUGGAUCAUUGUUUGCAGAGUUAAAAGCUAGACCAUUGUUUCUUCAAGAAAUUUGUGAGGCUCAGAAAGUGGAUAAUGAAUUGCAAAGAAGAAAGACUCAGUGUGCAGUGGACGAUAAUUCUGAUUUUCGGAUUAAUUCAGAUGGAUGUUUAAUGUUUCAUGACAGAAUAUGCGUUCCGAAAAAUGUUGAUUUAAUUCAGAAAAUUUUGCAGGAAGCACAUGAUAGUCGUUUGGCAGUUCACCCCGGUAGUGUAAAAAUGUACAAUGAUUUGAAGAAAUUAUAUUGGUGGCCGGGUAUGAAACGGGAUAUCUCUGAGUAUGUGACAAAGUGUUUAGUGUGCCAACAAGUAAAAGCUGAACACCAAGUACCUUCAGGGUUACUUCAACCUAUUAUGGUGCCCGAGUGGAAAUGGGAUAGAAUUACUAUGGAUUUUGUUUCCGAAUUGCCAUUAUCACUGAAAAAGAAAGACUCAAUUUGGGUUAUAGUUGAUCGAUUGACUAAGUCGGCUCAUUUCAUUCCUGUGCGAAUGAGUUUUUCACUUGACAAGUUAGCUGAAUUGUAUAUUGCUGAGAUAGUCCGAUUACAUGGUGUGCCUAUGUCUAUUAUAUCUGAUAGAGAUCCACGGUUUACUUCAAGGUUUUGGAAGAAAUUACAAGAGGCAUUGGGUACUAAAUUAAAUUUUAGUACAGCAUUUCAUCCCCAAACCGAUGGACAGUCUGAAAGAGUAAUUCAAGUGCUCGAAGAUAUGUUGAGAUGUUGUGUAUUGGAAUUUGAAGGUAAUUGGGAAAGAUAUUUACCUUUGGUGGAAUUUGCUUAUAAUAAUAGUUAUCAGUCAAGCAUAAAAAUGGCACCUUAUGAAGCGUUGUAUGGACGAAAGUGUCGGACUCCAUUAUAUUGGACUGAACUUAAUGAAAAUCAGUUACAUGGAGUCAAUUUGGUAAAAGAAACCGAAGAAAAAGUGAAGAUAAUCCGUGAUUGUUUGAAAGCUGCAUCAGAUCGACAAAAGUCGUAUGCGGACUUGAAAAGAAAAGAGAUUGAGUUUCAAGUGGGAGAUAAAGUAUUUUUGAAAGUGUCUCCAUGGAAGAAAAUUUUGAGAUUUGGCCGUAAAGGCAAAUUAAGUCCAAGAUUUAUUGGUCCGUAUGAAGUGAUAGAAAGAAUUGGUCCAGUGGCUUAUCGAUUGUCUUUACCACCGGAAUUGGAAAGAAUUCAUAAUGUGUUUCAUGUUUCUAUGUUGAGGCGAUAUCGAUCGGACCCAUCACAUGUGAUUUCACCGACUGAAGUGGAAAUUCGAUCGGAUAUGACAUACGAAGAAGAACCGAUUCGAAUCUUGGCACGAGAAGUGAAACAGUUGAGAAACAAAGAAAUUGCUUUAGUGAAAGUGUUAUGGCAACGACAUGGGGUGGAAGAGGCAACAUGGGAAACCGAGGAGGCUAUGAGGAAACAGUAUCCCAACUUAUUCACUGGUAAGAUUUUCGGGGACGAAAAUCCCUAAGGGGGGAGAAUUGUGAUAGCCCGAAAUAGGGCCUAAUCGGAAUAGUGGUUUCGUAACCACAAAUCCGAAGUGAAAUAGUUUAAUUUUAUAAAUUUUUAUUAGUUACUGAUUGAUUGAAAUAUUGUGUGAAAAUAUGGAUAGGAAAUUUUAAUGCUUUAGUGCUUAAUUGAAUUUUUAGGACUAAAUUGAGAAAAGUGCAAAGUGUGUCUAAUUAGUGAUUAAAUGAUUUAAUUGAAUUAUUGCAUGAAAUUGGAAGUGUUUAUGUGGCAAUUAGACCAUAAAUUAGUGUUAUGGACACAAAAGGGUAUUUCUAGAAAAAUAUCUAAGUAAUGGGUCAAGGGCAUUUUUGUCCAAAUUGGAUAAAAGACAAAAUAAAGAGAAAAUAAGUGUCCAUCUUCUUCAAAAAUCAGAAGCUUGCUGCCGAAAGUUUCAGGUUACCAUAGUUAAGGGUUUUGAUUUUCCUAAGCUCAAUUGUAAGUGAUUUCUUGCCCCGUUUUUAAUUAUUUUCGUAUUUUUAUGCUUAUUGAAGCUUGAAUUUCAUAUUUCUACCAUUUAAUUUAAAUGAAAUUAAAGUUUAAAAAUUGACCCAUUCAUGAUAUAAUUGUAAAUUGAUUAGUGAUGUUAGAUAAUGAAUGUUUGAAGUGUUAAUUACAAGUUUUACUAGAUGAAUUUCAACGAAAAAUGUUGAAAAAGGGCUAAAUUGUGAAAGAUGGUAAAGUGUGCAUAAAGUUGUGAUUUUGUGAAAUUGAGGCCUGUUAUGAGCAUGAAAUAUGAUUUAGUGAAGUUUGAAAUUUAAGAAUUUAGUGAAUUUUAUUUUUACGAGCUUAGGGACAAAAGUGGAAUUUUUGAAAAGUUAUGGAGAAAAAUGUAAAUGUGUCAAAAUGUUGUGUAUGAAUUGUAUUUGAAUGGAAUAUUGAUAAAAUGUAUUAAAUUGUGUUAAUAUAGAUCAAGAAAGAAGAAAUAGUGCAAGUGAUCGGGGAAAAGAGAAAGUUAUCGACUAAAUUACAAAAAUAGUCAUUUUGCAUCCGAGGUAAGUUAUAUGUAAAUAAUAGUUAUAUUUGUAUAAAUUGUGAAUUAUAUUUGAUAUGUGAAUUAAUAUUGAAUGUGGAAGGAAAGUUGUUCAUGAAUUAUUCAAGUGAUAAAGUGUUGAAAAUAAAGUGUUAAGUGUAAAUUCCCGGUUGAACUUAGGAAUAGAAUUGGAUACAAGUGACAUGUCACUAGAGACCAGUGUUACAGUGUUACAGUGUUACAGUGAGUCCCGGGUGCUGGGUGAUCUAGCAUGUGUUGCAGACACCUGACAGCUUGUGUGAGCAGGCCCGUGGACAUUUCCAGUGUUAUUGAUCAGUGGUAGCUUCGGCUACAUUUCAGUGGUAGCUUUGGCUACAUCCAGUGGUAGCUUCGGCUACAUCCAGUGGUAGCUUCGGCUACAUAUCAGUGGUAGCUUCGGCUACAUAUCAGUGUGGCACUUAUGUGCUAAAUCUCUACGUAUCCGUGUAUAUUCCAAGUGUUCAACGGGAUUAAUAAUGAAUUAAAGUGAAUAUGAAAUGUUAAGUGUGAAAAUGUAUAUGCAAGUGAAUUGGUAAGAUUGUGUAUGUGUAAGUGAUUGAAAUUGCUAAGAAAUGUUUUGAUUAGUUAUAUGUUAAAAGUGUUAAUUAUUAAUUGAGUAAUUAUUGUUUACAUGUAACUUACUAAGCUAUUUAUAGCUUACACAUCUCUUUCUUUCCUUUGUUUUAUAGUGAUUUGAACUUGAUCGAAUAGUGGACCGUCGGAGCUCGUAUCACACUAUCAUAACCAUCUCGGUAUUAUGUGCUUUUCAAAAUGUUUAAACUAUGGCAUGUAUAGAGUCUUAAUCAUUUUGAGCAUGUCCAAAUGAUAUGGCUAAUGUUAGCUAUUGAAGUAGUUAUUAAAGAAUAUGUUUUGGAGUUAUGUAUGUUUAAAUGGUAACUAAUUCAAAGAAGCAGUUUCUUUGACAGCAGCAGUGACGUGAAUGUGAAAAAUCACCAUAAAUAGUAGAAAUAGAAUUAGAGGGUGAAUUAUAUAUAGAAUUAAAUCUUAUCAAGUCUAUUUUUACAUGAAAGAAACGGUGUAGGCAAAGGAAUUUUAUAUUUUUAGAUAUUUAAAUUUUAGUGAGACAGGGUCAGAAUGGUUUUUGAAGUCCCCUGUUCUAACUUUAGAAAAUCAUUAUAAAUUGUACAGAAAUAAUUAUAAGUCAUAAUUUAUAUGUUUAGAUUCCUUAGUGAGUCUAUUUUCAAAAUAAAUUAAUGGUAACCUUAUAUGAAUUCUGUAAAAUUAGAUAUUUGAUUUUUAGCGCCAAGAGGUCAGAUCUGUCGAGCUGUGAAACAGGGGAUACUUUAAUGAAUAAACUGUACUAAUGUGCUAAGUCAAAAAUUCUGAAAAUUUUAUGGUAAGUAGGAAUAUGAGUCUAGUUUUAUGGAAAAUUUACGGAUUUAAAUUUUGAGUUUCGUAACUCAAGUUAUAAUUAAAUUAGUGACAGUUGCGCAGGUGGACAGUGUUGUUAUGAACAGUGAAUUUAAUUUUAAAAGUAAAUUUUUAUGCUCCGAAUCGGUAAGUUAAAUUGGAUGACAUCUCGUACUCGAUUCCGGAGACGGUCUCGGGUAAGGGGUGUUACACUGCUUCACUGUAACUUUAGGAAGACAAGAUUCGUCGUCUUCGAUCUGCUCCACUACAACUUCAGGGAGCAAUAUCUGUAAUCUUCAGCCUACUCCACUACAACUUUAGGGAGAUAGGAUGGUGGCUUAAAUCUACUUCAUUGCAACUUCAGGAAGACAAGAUUCGCUAUUUUCGAUCUGCUCCAGUACAACUUCAAGGAGACAAGAUCUGCAAUCUUCAGCCUACUCCACUACAACUUUAGGGAGAUAGGAUGGUGGCUUAAAUCUGCUUCACUGCAGCUUUAGGAAGACAAGAUUCGUCGUCUUCGAUCUGCUCCACUACAACUUCAGGGAGCAAGAUCUGCAAUCUUCAGCCUACUCCACUACAACUUUAGGGAGAUAGGAUGGUGGCUUAAAUCUACUUUACUGCAACUUCAGGAAGACAAGAUUCACCGUCUUCGAUCUGUUCCACUGCAACUUCAGGGAGACGAGAUCUGUAAUCUUCAGCCUACUCCACUACAACUUUAGGGAGAUAGGAUGGUGGCUUAAAUCUACUUCACUGCAACUUCAGGAAGACAAGAUUCACCGUCUUCGAUCUGCUCCACUGCAACUUCAGGGAGACGAGAUUUGUGAAUUCACUGAUGUCGCUACACCGUCCUCUAAGGGCAUGAUUUGUAGAAUCGGUUUCCUAUACCUAUGCUUAUACCAAAUAAUUAGGAUGCCAUGAUCAAAAUAAGUCAGAUGCUCCUAACUAGGUGAAUGAUUAUGAAUGUAGAAAUGUCAUGAGAGUGAUUCCUUUUAAAAUGCUUAAGGUAUCAUUGCUCAUAGUUCAUCAGGGUUCUAUCAUUGAUGCGCUAUCGCGUCUUCUUGCUUAGCCGUUAUCUUUGACAGAAAAUUUGAAGAAAUAGUCACAAUUUGGACUAAUCUUUUUCCAAUAUUUCCCACUUUUGAGUCUGGUUAGUUCUGACUAGUGACCUUAUUUCAGGUCCUUGUACUGUUUAGAGACCUUCCAGAGUAAUAUGCAUAACUUCUUUUGUGUGAAUAUUAUAAGUCCAAAAAUCGUGAUUUUAACAAAAUUCUCGAAAGAGACUAUCAUAAUGGACAAGAUGGAAUGUUAUUGAGCAAAACUCGAAGUGAAAAAAUUAAACAGGAUAGCAAAUCUGUUAAAGUACAAUAUAAGAUGAGAAAAAGGUGCCCCAGAUAUUACAGCACGAGCUUUACUAUUCCAACUUCUCAAAAACCAUUUCGAGCUAAAUAUGUGUUUAAGAGAUCCCGCGUAUUUUGUUGAUGCUCCAAGAUGUACUGUUCUUCUCUCUUGUUAAUUUGGGAGGACAAGACUACCACAUGCCCCAUGUUCAAAAUUUGAGCUGCCCAUUUUCGGGUUUUCAACUCAAAAUCCCCUUUGGUCUCAAAGUGCCUUUUGCGGGUUUUCACCUUGGCCUCUCCAUUUUUUUCCAACCAAAGCACCCUUUGCGGGUUUUCGCCUUGGCCUCUUUCCCUCUUUAAGUAAAAUACUUUUUGACAGAAUCUGAAUUCACAGGAUUAGGCAGGUUUUUCCCAUCCAUUUCGGCUAGAAUUAAUGCUCCUCCGGAGAAAGCUUUCUUCACCACGUAAGGCCCCUCCCAAUUUGGCAUCCAUUUCCCUCUGAAAUCUUUUUGUAUGGGAAGGAUCUUUUUCAAGACUAGGUAUCCCUCAUGGAAUUCCCUUGGGUGGACCUUUUUAUCAUAAGCCUGCAUCAUUCGUUUUUGGUACAUCUGACCAGGACGGAUAGCUCUUAGCCUCUUUUCUUCAAUCAAGUUCAAUUGAUCGUAUCAAGACUGGAUCCAUUCUGCUUCAUCCAACUUUAGUUCCGACAACACUCGGAGGGACAGGAUCUCGACUUCGAUUGGCAAAACCGCUUCCAUUCCGUAGACCAAAGAGAAAGGUGUUGCCCCAGUUGAAGUUCUGACUGAUGUUCGAUAAGCAAAGAGGGCAAAUGGUAACUUCUCAUGCCAAUCUUUGUAGGUCUCAGUCAUCUUCCCCACAAUCUUCUUAAUAUUUUUAUUGGCCGCUUCCACUGCCCCAUUCAUUUUCAGGCGGCAUGGUGACGAGUUAUGGUGUCUGAUCUUGAAUUGACUGCUGAUUUCUGCUAUCGUACUAUUGUUCAAGUUUAAUGCAUUGUCAGAUAUGAUCCUCUCCGACAUUCCAUAUCGACAUAUGAUCUCUUUUUUUAAGAAUUUGCUCACCGCUGACUUUGUAACAUUGGCAUAUGAAGCGGCUUCUACCCAUUUGGUGAAGUAGUCGAUAACCACAAAAAUGAACCGAUGGCCAUUGGAAGCUUUCGACGAUAUUGGUCCAAUCACAUCCAUACCCCACAUAGAGAAAGGCCAUGGGGAAGUCACGACAUGCAGCGGUGAAGGAGGCACAUGAAUUUUGUCUCCAUAGAUUUGGUAUUUAUGACAUCUCUUGGCGUAAUUGACACAGUCUCCUUCCAUUUUGGAUCAAUAAUAUCUGAAUCUCAUAAUUUGCCUGGCCAUUGUAAAGCCAUUAGCAUGUGUCCCACAAACGCCCUUAUGGAUUUCUUCUAAGAUUUUUUUGGCCUCUACAACGUCACGUAUCUUAAUAGCACUUGAUCCUUUCUUCUUUUGUAUAGGAUCUCCCCAUCUAAGACAUAGUCGAUGGCCAAUCUUCUCAGCGUCCUUUUGUCAUUCUCGCUUGCCUGGUCCGGGUACUCACGAUUCUUCACGUAUUGCAAUAUAUCGUGAUACCAAGGGUGAUCAUCUUUUUCUUCAUCUUCUUCAAUAUUAUAACAGUGGGCCGGAGUUUCAUAAAUGCUCAUCUGGAUGGGUUUGACAUCUUCUUGUUUGUUCACCUUGAUCAUGGAAGCUAAGGUGGCCAAAGCAUCAGCCAUCUAAUUUUCAUCCCGUGGAAGGUAGUGGAAGAUAAUGUCAUCGAACUCUUUAACCAAUUCAAGGAUCAGUUUUCGAUAAUCGAUCAACUUGGGGUCUUUGGUCUCCCAUUCUCCUUUGAGUUGAUAAAUCACUAAUGCAGAAUCUCCAUACGCCUCUAGCACUUUAAUCUUGCGUUCUAUGGCUACACGGAUACCCAUUAUGCACGCUUCGAAUUCUGCCAUGUUAUUCAUACAAUCAAAAUCCAAUUUACUAGUAAAUGGAUAAUGAUCUCCGUUUGGAGAUACCAAAACUGCCCCGAUUCCAUUACCCACAGCAUUUGAUGCCCCAUCGAAGUUUAGUUUCCAGGGAAGUUCUUCCAGAGCACCUUUUUCAGUGGUAGCAACACACAUCAGGUCUUCAUUCGGGAAAUCGAAGUUCAAGGGCUCGUAAUCUUCUAAAGCUCUACUGGCCAGAAAAUCUGCUAUUGCACUCCAUUUUACUACUUUCUGGUUCACAUAGACUAUGUCGAAUUUGGAGAGCAGAAUUUGCCAUCGGGCCAUCCUUCCAUUCAAAGCUGUCGACUCCAUCAUGUACUUUAAAGGGUCGAGUUUUGAGAUGAUCCAAGUAGUGUGAUACAAGAUAUACUGCCUCUGCCUUCGAGUUGUCCAAAUUAGGACACAACAUAAUUUCUCUAUCGGUAGGUACCUUGUCUCACAUUCCGUGAACUUUUUUUUAAGAUAGUAAAUAGCUUUUUCUUUCCUUCCUGACUCAUCAUGUUGACCCAGUACACAUCCCAUGAAAUUCUCAAAUACUGCCAAAUACAAUAUCAAUGGCUUAUCGGGGUUAGGUGGCAUCAACACCGAAGCUUUGGAUAAGUACUGUUUGACCUUGUCGAAAGCCCUUUGGCAUUAUUCAUCCCAUACACCUGGGUUGUGUUUCUUGAGGUGGCAGAAAACAGGGUCACAUUUCUCAGUUAGUUGUAAAAUGAAUGAGCGAUGUAAUUUAAUCUUCCGAGAAAGCCUCGAACCUCUUUUUGGGUACGCUGCGGAGAUAGCUCUUGUAUGGCUUUGACUUUGUCUGGAUCAAUCUCAAUCCCUUUCUCACUAACCACGAAUCUGAGCAACUUUCCAGACUUGGCUCCGAAGGUACAUUUGGCCGGAUUGAGUUUUAGCUGAAACUUCCUUAACCUAAAGAAGAACUUUCUCAAGACUUGUAUGUGCUCCUUCUCUGUUCGGGACUUUACGAUCAUAUCAUCGACAUAAACUUCGAUUUCUUUGUGCAUCAUGUCAUGAAAAAGGGUUACUAUGGCCCUUUGAUAUGUUGCCCCCGUCUUCAGUCCAAAUGGCAUCACCUUGUAGCAGAACGUGCCCCACAUGGUUACAAAUGUGGUCUUCUCCAUGUCUUCAGGAUGCAUCUUGAUCUGGUUAUAUCUGGAGAAACUGUCUAUGAAGGAAAAUAAUGAGUGUCCUACUGUGUUGUUCAUUAAGGUGUCGAUAUGAGACAGUGGAAAAUUAUCUUUCAGGCUAGUUUUGUUCAAAUCUUUGUAGUCUACACAAAUUCAUACUUUUCCAUCCUUCUUUGGGACGGGGACGAUGUUGGCUACCCACUCUGAGUAUUUUACCACCUUUAAAAAUCCAGCGUCAAACUACUUUCUAACUUUUCUUUUAUUUUUAGCAAGACGUCGGGUCUCAGUCUUCGGAGUUUUUACUAAACUGGCUUACAUUCUUCCUUUAUGGGGAGUCGGUGCACCACGAUAUCAGUGUUCAACCCCGGCAUAUCUUGGUAUGACCAUGCGAAGACAUCUUCGAACUCUUGAAGUAAUUCGAUAAGGUCUCGCUUCAUCUCCAUGGUGAUAUAAGUUCCGAUCUUCACCUCUUGUCCCUCUCCUAAGCUCACAAUUUCUACUGAUUCUUUGUGAUGUAGGAUUUGUUUCUCGUCUUGUUCUACCAUCCUCAACAAAUCAGGAGAUAGGUUGCAGCAUUGGUCAUCUUCGAAAUCCUGAGAAUCCUCCAUACACAUAUCUCGCUCAAAAGGAGAUCUGAGCCACUAGUAGUGUCACUCAUAUCAUUGAUAUUUGGGGACCUGUUAUGAGGAUGAAGAAAGAUACAAAGAAUCAAAAAAAUUCAAUAACACUGAUCUGUAUGGUAUGAUUAUGAAUGAAGAAUGAAAGAAUAUUUAAAAGAAUGUUCAAAGAACAAAAGAAUCUGAAAGUAAUUGUUUGUAUAAUAUGAUUAUGAAUGAAAUUGAAAGAAUGAAAGAAUAUCUGCUCAAAAUGAUAAUAACUGUGCAUUUAAUUGAAAUAACGUUUUUAAACAUAAGACUAUUUCACAAAAGAUUCUUAUUACUCCUAGGCCUAGAGUAAUAAGUGUGUUUUAGACAUUACUCUGAGUCAGUUCUAAAAACUAUAGGAAUAUCUUCCGUAGUCUAGUUAUUCAGAACACUUUCAGGUAUGUAGGGGCAAAUGCCUGACAAAUUUUCUCCUCCAGUCUCUUCUUCGUAUGUGGCAUUGAUGUCCAAGCUUUCCAACUUUUCUUCUAUGGCUUCUUUUCUUGGCAUACCCUGCUCGGGAUGAAUGAUCCCUCCGGACACAAAAUUUUUCGAUAUAUGGGGGAAUGUCAUUGGCUCCCAUUUGAUUUCCUCCCCUGUUAACUGUGCUCCCCUUCUUUCUUGUUUCUUUUCCAGCUCCUUUUUUCGUUGUUUUGCAUUUGGCUUAAAUCCUAAGCUGAAGCGGCCUCUCUUGUCCUUCAAUACUGGCGUUUCAACCCUUCCUUAAAGAUGUCUCCCAAGUCCUCUUCUAUGUAGGGCUUCUUUUCCGACCAUCCUCAUAGUUUUAGAUAAUUUCAGCGUCAGAGUCUUGCUUCCCUCGAUAAUGAACGUUGCAUUAACAAAUUCCAAAGACCGAAAUGAGCAUUCGAUUGCUUCGUCAUCUGUCUCCAAAUAGGAUGCAUCAUUACUUAUAGAUGUAAUGAUAUCCUCUUCAGCAUUUAUCGUUAUCAAUCACCCCUCUGAUACUAAUUUCAAUUUUUGAUACAACGAUGAAGGCAUUACCCCAGCUAAAUGUAUCCAGGGUCUCCCCAAUAAGUAGUUGUAUGAGGGCUUGAUAUCAAUCACCAGAAACUCCACAUCAUAUUUGUUUGACCUGAUCAGAAGAGGUUCCUCAAUUCUGCCUAUCACCCUUCUCUCCGUACUAUCAAAUGCUUUCAUUAUGUUCUGGCACACUUUCAUGUUAGAACUGUCUAUAGGUAAUCUGUUUAGUGUAGACAAUGGUAGGAUGUUUAAGGCCGACCUGUUGUCAAUCAGUACGCCUGGCAGCGUAGACCCCUUACAGUGCAUAGUGAUGUGUAAAGCUUUAGUCAACCCCCUGCCACAGGGUGGUAUCUCAUCGUUAUUGAAGAAAAUAAAGUUAUCGGCACUUAUGUUGCUAACUAAGCGGUCUAGCUUGUUGACUGAGAUAUCAUUGGCAACAUAUGUUUCAUUCAAGACCUUCAUCAGCGCGCUGCGAUGAGCUUCCGAACUUAGGAGUAAGGCCAGCACCGAGAUACGAGUUGGUUGUUUACGUAGCUGUUCCACCACAUUGUACUCACUGCGCUUUAGGAAUUUUAAAAACUCCUUAGCUUCCUCCUCGUUAACUGGCUCAUUAGCAGGAAGUUCAGAUUUGGUCACUUUUUCCUUCAUCUCUUCGACCACUGGGGCUUUUCCUUUUACGGGUUGUGCCUUCUCGCUUGUUGUAUCAUAACGUCUCCCGCUACGUGUAUAGGAGCCCUCAUCUUGGUCCUCUUUUGAAGCGUCAACCAUGUGAUCUUUUCCUAGGAUCAUCACAUUAUAGUCGUAAUUCCAUGAGACCCUUUUGCUGUCUUUAAAGGGGAAGACUGCAGGUCUUUGGAUUAUGACUCUCAAUGGCAUUUGCACUCCUACUUCAUUAUUUUUGGGUCGCGAUAUGAUGACCAUGGGGUAGUUAACUGUUUGAUUCUGCGUCGUCGAUUCUCCCUCCGAUGCACGUAUAUCUCCCUCUCUGGGGUUUUUAGCUUCUUCAUAAAACUCUAUUUCUUUAUUGUUUAUCAUGUCCUGCACGAGGGCUCUGAACUCCACACACUCUUAGAUUUUAUGCCCCACCUCAUUAUGAAACUCGCAGUAGUUCCUCUCUUCUUCAGAUUCUUUUCUCGAAUCCAACGCGAUCAAUCCUCUCUUGACCAUCUCCUUCUACACUUGUCUCAAUAGGGUCCUGACUUCUGCAACCUCACAUUUGAUCUUCUUGUUCCUGCCUUUGCUUAUCCCGUUCACUCCUUGGUCGGUAUGAUUGGGGAGCGGGUUUCCUACUACAUUGGGUACGGUUGGGUCAUCAAACCUCACAAUCCCCAUUUUAAUGAGUCUUUCAACUACUUUCUUGAACGCGGUGCAGCUUUUGAUAGAAUGCCCUGUAAUUCCCGCAUAGUAUUCACAUUAGGCAUUUGUGUCAUACCAUUUGGGAUACGGGGGUUGCAGUGGCUUCAGGUAAAAAGGGGACACUAUAUGAGCGUUGAAUAGGUUCUGGUACAGCUCCCUAUACGUCAUGGGUAUAGGGGUGAACUGUGGCCUUUCUGUGUUCUCCCUCACGUUGGAUUAUUGUCUCACAGUACUAUAUUGAUUGGUGGUCACCGUCUUUGAUUGAUUUACGGUGAGUGACUUGGACUGACCCUUACUGAAUGUGCUCGUGUUGUUCACUUCAUUACCUCUUUUCCUCGGGGCUAACUUUCUGGUACUUUCUCCUGCUUUUAUUUUACAGGUCCUCACAGUAUUUUCAAUUAUUUCACCCGUCAUCACUAUGUCUGAGAAGCUUUUGGUGGCGCUUCCCAACAUAUGAGUGAUAAAAUGGGCUUUUAAAGUGUUGAUGAAGAGUAUCAUAGUUUCCUUUUCUAGAAGCAACGGCUGAACUUGUAUGGCAACUUCUCUCCAUCUUUGCGCAUACUGUCUGAAACUUCCAUUUGGCUUCUUCUCCAUAUUCUGGAGAGUGAUCCUGUCAGGAGUCAUGUCUGUCACAUGAUUAUAUUGUUUCAUAAAGGCUUGAGCUAGGUCUUUCCACAAAUUAAUCCUAGCACGGCUUAAUUAGUUAUACCAUUUAGAUACCGCCCCAACCAGACUAUCUUGAAAGCAGUGAAUUAAUAGCUGGUCAUUGUUGACGUAUCCCGUCAUUCGCCUGCAAAACAUAGUGAUAUGAGCUUCAGGGCAACUUGUUCCAUUAUACUUCUCAAAUUCAUGCAUUUUGAAUUUGAGGGGUAGGACCAAGUUUGGGACCAAACUCAGGUCCUUAGCAUCAAUCCCGUGAUGACUAUCGGCACUUUCCAUAGCUCUGAAUUUGUCCUCCAGCCAUUUACACUGUUCUUUCAAUUGUUUUUGCAAUUCUAUCUUCGCCUUCUCUUCUUCUGCAACUUUAUCCAAAUCGAGAAUAGGCGGAUAAUUCAGGUUAUUAACAAGGUUAGAGCCUGAGCCAGCUUAGAAAUUCAUCGGUAUCAAAGCUCCAGCCUGAAUCUGUUGAGGCAUAAUCAUAAUAGAUGGUCUUUGUAGAUUAAUCUCAGGCUUCGCCGGUACAUGUGUCGGAAUGAAGCCAGGAGGGUAUUGAGGGACUUCAUUAGUUUCCUCAACAUUGUCCAUGGGGCCCUUUCCUUUAUCCAUUCUUCCCAUUAGCAAUUGGGAUAACUGACUCAUCAUCUCUUUUAGGGAUUCCAUCAUUUGCUCCUUCAUCUCUCGCUGAAUCUUGGCUAGCUGCUCUUGCAUCUAAGACUGCAUUUGUUCCUGCAUGUCUUUUUGCAUUUGCUCUAAUUUCUCAAGUCUUUUAUCCAUUGACUUUUUCCUUGUACCGUAGGGGUGCGUAGUUAGUUGGUUUUUGUUGGUUUCCAGAUUACUAAAAUGAUUUUUUAAUUAAUUAGAAACCUUUCAUGACUUUUAAUGCAUAAUGAUGUGAUGUAAUGCAAAUGCAUGAAUGCAAAGAAGGCAUCAAUUUGAUUCAAUUCCCUUUAGAAAACUUCACUAGAAAAUAAAAUUCUUUUACAUAAAGUUGAGUUACAAAUAAAACUUCGCUCUAAUGCUCAAAGUCUUAAUUUUCCUAAGUAAGGAGGCCAGCUCCUGCCGCGAUCUGACUCCAACUCGUACUUUACGCUCAGUGUGUCCGCUUGUACAGCUAAAGCUUGCAAGUAAUCAGCUACCUCCCGGAUCUGGGUUAUGGCUUCCCCCAUAAGGUAAUCCCUGUUUCUAACUUGGUCUUGUGCAUGGUGAAGCUGCUUCUUCCAACGCUCCUCAUUUGUCUCAAAAAAUUGAAUCCGCACCUCAUAGUUUUGUAGUGACGUUUCUAAUUCUUCUAUUUUUCCUUUCAUUUCUUCUAUCUUGCUUAAGCUUGCUCUAAACUCCAUUGCGGUAUUGCAGCUUCGGUACUGAUGAAGAGACUUAUCGAGUUCUGCCACUUUAGCCCUUAAUUCACAUCGUUCAUUUCUGCUUUCUAAAAGAUCUCCUCUAAAUCUUCAUUUCGUGCUUGAGCUUCUCGGAAUUUCCUUUCCCAUAGGUCGACUUUGGUCUUUUCCUCUCGAAUUUCAUGGCGCCAUUUUUCAUAAGUUUUACGUAACCUCGCAGUCCUCAUAGACAAGCGUAACUUCUUAUAAUUAGUCUUCAAGCUGUCUAGAUCUUCUUCGGCCUUAGUUUUCCCUUUUCUCCACUUUUCAGCCUCUGACCUUUGGACAUCAGCGUCUAAUCUCAGGUGCAUUUUCACUUCCUCCAAUUGUUCAAUCUUUUUCCCAAGCUCUGAAAUCUUUUUCUCGAAGUCUUGCUUUAUAAUUUCCAACUUCGACGGUGUGAUUUGUAAUUGUUCCACCAUAGGUCGAGUAUUUUCCAAGCUUGGCCUAGGAACAUUAUCAUUAACCCUCUUCCUAAACCAUCCAUCAUACUUAGGCGUCACCAUGGAACCGACAACCAACCUCUUCAUCCAGCGAGUUUGCUUCCAAGCAUCCGAUAGCUCUCGAACUUUCUUUUUAUAGUGGGCACCUUUAAAGGAGAAUUCACACUGAGCAAGUCCGUAGGUCGUGGGUACAAACUACCUCGAUUUAUAUUGCCUUAACGCAAGCAAUGGAGUAUACCCAGUAGCUCCCCAAAUUCCUAACAACAGCACUCAAUCAAAGUUCCCACAUCGAUACAUGAUCUCAUCAGGAACCAUCCAAUAAGCUCUCCACUCUAUAUCCCCUCCUUGAGGUUUUGGAGGAUUUUCAUCCACUUCUCCUCUGAGAUAUCCUCUCUCCUUUGUAUGACUGCCUCCUCUUUUAACGGGGAAUAACCUUCGAAAAAUACCUGAUAAGAAACCUUGUCUACCUUCCAAAAGUGCCCAUGAAACCACACCAUCAACAGUUGUGCACAUCCAAUAAACCGCCCCUCGCCCGUCUUCCAAAACGUGCUCAAGGAUCUGAACGUCUCAGGCAAUAUUGCCGGUACAGGUGUGAUUCCCUUCUCAAGACGGUCGAAUAAGUCAAUGACUGCCUCGUCCACGUGCCUUAAAACUUUAGGAAAAAUUACCAAUCUGUAGAUGCUUAAGGCGAAGAUAUCAACCCUCUUUCUUUCAUCUGGAUGCUUUAAAACCAAAUCUCGCAAAUUCUCCCAGGGGAUACAUUUACUAUCUCCUUUUUGUUGAAUCCGAGCAGUGACCCAAGGCUCGCUCAUCCCUGAAAUGUUCAUCAAUUUCUUCGCUAAAGUCUGACCAUUAAAAACCCUGGCAUAAGUCUUUCUAACUUGAACUUUCGGACACCUGAGCAGGGUAGUAUAUUCCUCCAUGGUAGGUACUAAAUCUACUUCCCUAAAAGUGAAACACUUGUAAGCAGAAUUCCAAAACUGGACCAUAACUUGGAACAGGUGCUUACCCACCUUAAUAUCUAACAAGUAAGAUAUAUCACCAUAGCUUUGAUAGAAAAACUGUUUGGUCUCUUCAUCCCGACGAGCCCAUAUAUCUCUCAACUCUUGCAACUCAUUUUGUGCUACAUUGAUGCGAGUGAAUUCCUACAACUCCGAUGUAUAUCCUUCUACCAAGCUAUCUCCUUUCUAUGAUUGUAACCUUUCUGACCAUGCGCGAACGGCCGCAUUAUCCUCAACUUUAUUAAGAAAUUCAUUCUCCAUGUCAAACUUUCUAACUUAGUAAUCGAAUACUAAUCAACACCUCAUUUAGGAUGCAAUGUCAUGAAAAACACAGUCAAAACAAAACACAAGUUAGUAUCAAAUAAUAGUGAUAAAAUACAAGUACAGAAAAGAUAAUAAUAACACAUAUAUGGGCAAAUACUAAGGCUUGAUGCGGCUCCACCCAAGGAUAGCUCCUAAGGUUCGCUAUAUAUGGUUCGGUUCUAGAGAUAAGGUACCUGAACCAGCAGAUUCCUCAAUCCUCACCCAUUAUAGGCUCAUAUAGAUUGAGUUCGGUUCAGGGGGAUACAUUUCCCUAUGACCAUGCGGAGAUGAAAAUCUCAAAAAAUCAUAGGUACGGAUGUACCCCGGAAGCAAUCCACUUGCCCAUGCGGAGGUGAAGACCUCACGAAAGCAUAGUUUCUUACUCCCACUUAGAGGGUGUGACCACGGCGGUUAUGCAGUGAAAUGCAGUAUUAUUCUAAAAGCCCGAACCAUAACAACCAUACAAACAAAUGCAAUCGAAAGAAACAUGAUUUUUAAAACAAAAUUUCAAUUUUUGACAAAAGGACGGUAAAUAAUCAAUUUUAUGGCUUGACUCUCUUGUUCGAUCCCUAGUGGAGUCAUCAAGCUGUCGAAACCAUCUUUCAAAUUUGAUUUUUAAAAAUGGGAAUCGACUUGUUGAAAAAUGAAAAUGUGGAGUCGCCACCGAUCUUUUUGUUUAGGUGUGAUCGGAUCACCUAGAAAUUUGGUUAUUUUAAUAAAAUAUUUAUUAAAACAAUGAUUUUGGUCUUACGAAAAUAUUAGAACAUGGGCUCGGGAGUCGGUUACGCAUGAGGAAGGAUUAGCACCCUCACUACGCCCAAAAUUGGUACCAAAUUGAUUAAAUACUGUCCUCAUGUCUAAGAUUUAAAAAUGUUUUUUUUUUGAAAUGUGGUUCCUUUUAUAAACAUUUGAAUAGCCUAAGUUGGUCGUCAAAAUUCUCUUGUUUCGAAGGAAUACAGCAUCAUGUCCAGCACAAUAGGACACGAUCCUUUAUACCCUCGAAAACACGAUAAAUCUCGACUUCCAAAAAUUUAUAUGUUGAAAUCCGCAAAAGGAUGCCCAAUUAUUUAGUCCAACGAAAAAAUUGAAACCCAACACAGUAGGACACAAUUCCUCGAAUUUCUAGACAUCGGACAUUGCCUUAUUUUUGAAUUUAGAGAACAUGAGUGAAAUUCUAAAGGAACAUUCGAUUAUUUUGAACAAACAGGAAAUCGCAACCCAGCACGAUAGGGCACGAUUCCUCGAAUUGCCAAACAUCGAGUAUUACCUUCGUUUUGAAGAGUUUUUAAAGACAUGAGUGAAAUUCCAAAUAAAUAUUCGAUUGUUUUGAACAAGCGGGAAAUCGUAACCCAACACGAUAGGGCACGAUUCUCGAAUUGCCAAACAUCGAGUAUUGCCUUUGUUUUAAAGAAUUUUUAAAUGAAUAAUUAUAAAAAUAGCUUAAAACUCGUUAAUGUGACUCAAAAUAAAACGAAAUUAAUCUUAGAGAUUUGGACCUUAUAAAACCAAAUUUCAUAAACCAAGUGGAAAACAAUGAUAUGAGAUAAUGUACUCACAUGAGAUACAAUCAAUUAAUAAACUAAUAAUUAAGUAUAACUAACCCAAGAAAGGAUAACCCAAUUACGAUCAUGCAUGAGAAAUAAUUGAUAUAAUAAUACAAUAACGAAAAUAAUAAUAUAACAAUACAAUACAACACAACAGAACAAUACACACAAUAAUAUGCCAAAAUAAUAUACAUAGCAUGAUAUAAAACAGUCAAUGCAAGAUUUAAAAAAAACAAGAUGACAAUUAGAAGCCAAUGUGGUAUAAAACGAUUUUAAAAUAAUGACGAAUAAAUGAACACAUAAUUUACACAAUAUAUAAAUAGAUGAAUUUAAAACUAUUUGUAAAAACAAACUAAAAAUAUAUAUACAUAAUUACCAAAACAUAUGUUAUAGGAUGAAUAUUUUAAAUCGAAUGAUAUGCAAAGUAUUGAAGAAUAUUGGUUUAAAAUCGACAAUUCACACAUAAUAAAGAAAAUUUUAAAUUAUGUGUAAAGUAUAAAAAAAUAAUAAUGUAUAAUAAAAUAUAAUCUUUAAAACAUAAUGGAUUUACAAAUUAUAUAUAUGUAUAUAUAUAAAUAAACUUAGAAAUAAUUGUUUGUAAAAAUAUCAUAGAAAUGUAUACAAGAUUAAAUUAUUUUUAUUAUAUACGUAUAAAUAUUUAUAAUGAAACAUUUGAAUGAAAUACUAUCUAAUAUACCAAAAGAAUACAAUAUAAAGAAUUUCAAAACAAUAAUUUUAUAGACAAAAAAUAAUUUUAAAACAAUGGUGUAACCAAAAUAAUAUAUAUAUACGAAUACACGAAAAUGUCUAAAUGAGAAAUUGUAUAUAUACUAUGAUAAAACCAACUUCAAAAUAAUAAUAUAAAUAAAAAACAAAGCAAAGUUAAUAAAAUAGAUAAAAGUAUUAAAUGAAUUUUAAAAUAAUAAAUAUUUCAAAUAAAAAGCUUAAUGAAAUAAACUUAAAAAUAAAAGGGAUAAUUUCUAAAUAAAAGAAACCAAAAUAAGGACCGGCCCGUAAUGUGCGCAAAUGUACAAGGACUAAAACUGGAAUUAUUCCAAACCCUUGUUAAGGCGUGGAUCCAAUUGAAAAUGAAUAUGACUUACCAAACCAAAUUAAAAAAAAAACAAAGCAAGCAAGGUGCAAUCGAGUGCACGCACGAAAGGGGAGGACCCAUCGUGUAAAUACCCCCCUUUUUAAGCAGUACCGUUUUGAGGCUAUUAGUAUUAGCCUGAAAUGGUGUCACUUAAUAUUUCCCAUAGCAGCAAAAACAAACCCUAAGUAACCCCCAUACCAGCAAGAAUACAUCUAAGUAAAUCCUCUAGCCGCUUCAAAAAACAGAGAAAGAAAACCAAUCUUUUCUCUUCAAUAUUCGACCGACCGAUGGUCUCCCAAUCGACUGCUCUCCUGCCUCUCCUUUUGACCCAUAGAGUGGUCAAUCAAGGCUUCAUUGAACCAAGAAGAUUCGUGAGUCUUGCUCACAAACCCCAAAUCGCCACUUAGUUUCCAUUGUGGCGAAACAAGCGGGGAUUCGAAGGUGUCGAAACGCAGGUGAGUUUCUCUUCUUUCUUUUGCUUUUUUUCUUUUUUUUUUCCGAUGUAAAUGAUAAAGAAAUCUAUUGAAAUAGGUAAAAGGAAAAGAGGAUUAAAAGGAGGAAAAAAAUCACCUUCUCUGAUUUUCGAUUGCUUUCUAUAUUGCGUUUUUUGUGUGCGUAAUAUCGCGUGUGUUUCAUAAAAAAAAGGAGCAAUACAUUGCUUUCGGUUUUAUAGCCGAAAUCUCAAAAAAAUCAAAAUAAAAAAUACAAUUUUCUCUUCUUUUUCUAUUUGCUACUGUGGUUUGUCUGUUUCUUCGCAGGUACGAAGUAUGGGUGGCGUGAGUACGGGGGCUGGACUGGCGUACGGAGGCGCGGGCGUGGUUGCUGGAGGGUACGGAGGCUGGGGCUGCUGGAGCAGAGGCGUUGUCCAGUUCUUGGCUGCGGCGCAAAAUCCUAGCUAGGGUUUCUGCUUUGAUUUUUUAUUUUUGGGCUGUAGGGUAUUUGGGUCUAAGUUUUGGGUUGUGUUAGGUUUGGGCUAAGUUUGGGUAUUGGGUCAUUGUAAUAACUUUGGGCUUUGGAGUGUUAUAAAACUGGACUAUUAUAAUGUUUUUAUUAUAAUAAUUUUUGGUUUUAUGCUUAUACGAGCCUGGGCUAAAUUGGCCCAUUACACCUUGUUUUGCCUUGCUCUUCAAAGAAAAUGGGAACAACUGUAUGCGUAUGGCAUUAUCAGAAAUACCAUUAAUCUUGUAUGUGUCGCAAACCUAUAGAAAGUUAGCCAAAUGAGCAUUCAGAUCUUCAUCUGGCAACCCACCAAACUGAAUAUAUUGUUGUGCCAUCUGAAUUGUGUUCAGCUUCAGCUCAAAAUUGUUUGCAACAAUAGUUGGUCUCACAAUACUCGAUUUAGCCCCAAUCAAAGUAGGUUUAGCAUAAUCAUACAUAGUAUGAGGAGUAGGAGCUCAAAGAAGCUAUUGAUUAUUUUGAUUAUCUCCCAUCUCCAUAGUAAUAUGCUUUUCCUCUUGAUUGUCUACUCUAUUUUGUUGAUUUUGCCUUGCUUCUCUAACCUCUCUAUAAUUUUUACGAGCAGUCUUUGCAACUACACUAUAAAAAAAUCAACAGUUCCAAUGGGUUUCAUCUAGUCAUAAACCAAAAGAACUUGUCAGAAUGAAACAAACAAAAAAAUUAGAAUGUAAAAAUUAAAUUAAAAUAAAAAAUAUUAAAAUAAAAAUAAAAAUGACUAAAUUAAUAGAAAUAAAGUUUUCCUAAUAUUUUACUCCCCGGCAACGAUGGAAAAACCUUGAUUGCAGUUGUAAACCAACUAAAAAUCUAACUAAGACAAAUGCACCUAUCAAUUAGUAGUAUAGCUACGAUGAGCAAAGAUAUCAUUCCCAACAAGGACAAAAAUACUAGUAAUUGUUGUUUUUCUAUUAUUUAACCGAAAAAAUUGGAGUGAUUGAUCAAAACUAAAAUUAACUAAAUUAAUUUAUUAAAGAACACGAU
rnacentral:lncRNA from 1 species